rnacentral:rRNA from 2 species
CGAAUAGGGGCAACCCUUAGUAGAGCGGCGCACGGGUGCGUAACACGUGGAUAAUCUGCCUGGAUGCCUGGGAUAACCAGUCGAAAGAUUGGCUAAUACCGGAUAAGCCCACGGUUUCUUCGGAGACUGAGGGAAAAGGUGGCCUCUGUAUACAAGCUAUCACAACCAGAUGAGUCCGCGGCCCAUCAGCUAGUUGGCGGGGUAAUGGCCCACCAAGGCAACGACGGGUAGCUGGUCUGAGAGGACGAUCAGCCACACUGGAACUGAGACACGGUCCAGACUCCUACGGGAGGCAGCAGUGGGGAAUUUUGCGCAAUGGGCGAAAGCCUGACGCAGCAACGCCGCGUGUGUGAUGAAGGUCUUUGGAUUGUAAAGCACUUUCGACCGGGACGAAACCGUAAAGCCUAAUACGCUUUGCCUUGACGGUACCGGGAGAAGAAGCACCGGCUAACUCUGUGCCAGCAGCCGCGGUAAUACAGAGGGUGCAAGCGUUGUUCGGAAUUAUUGGGCGUAAAGCGCGUGUAGGCGGCUUUGCAAGUCGGGUGUGAAAGCCCUCAGCUCAACUGAGGAAGUGCGCCCGAAACUGCAGAGCUUGAGUGCCGGAGAGGGUGGCGGAAUUCCCCAAGUAGAGGUGAAAUUCGUAGAUAUGGGGAGGAACACCGGUGGCGAAGGCGGCCACCUGGACGGUAACUGACGCUGAGACGCGAAAGCGUGGGUA